rnacentral:rRNA from 1 species
UACGAAGGGGGCUAGCGUUGCUCGGAAUCACUGGACGUAAAGGGUGCGUAGGCGGGUUUUUAAGUCAGAGGUGAAAUCCUGGAGCUCAACUCCAGAACUGCCUUUGAUACUGAAAGUCUUGAGUAUGGGAGAGGUGAGUGGAACUGCGAGUGUAGAGGUGAAAUUCGUAGAUAUUCGCAAGAACACCAGUGGCGAAGGCGGCUCACUGGCCGAUAACUGACGCUGAGGCACGAAAGCGUGGGGAGCAAACAGG